rnacentral:tRNA from 1 species
AACAAAGAAGUAAUUAUUACAUUUAGUUUCGACCUAAAAUUAAAAGUUUAACUUUCAUGUUUUU